UUUAGUCAGUUGCAGAAUUAUUUCAGGUUGGUCAUUUCCUUUCGGGAUUGUUUGUAUUGUACCAGACUAAGGGGAGCUGCACCCCUAUGGAAUUAUGGUACUGAGGAGCUGUAUGGGAAUUCAGGAGAUUGGUGGUCCAUUCCCUAUACUGAGCUGAUCAGCUGUAUCCUCAACCACCCUCAAUAUGUGCUGCGGCUGUGCCCGGGGAAUACCCUCGAGGAAAGCUUUGUCACAAGGAGGCAAAUGAGGAGCAGCCCACCGCAGUGCUGCAGCUGGCCCGCAGCAACCCACGCCCCGUCACCCUGGGUCAGAGGCACAGCCGAGGCACAAGACAGAGUUCAGAAAUUCUAUGUCCAGUAUUAAUAAGGUCAAAAGAUACAGAUGGAAAAUGGCUCCUGAUUUUCCUGAUCCAAUAACACAAAGCAGGUCUCCUACUGCAUUAAAAGUGACGUGGAUAAGUAACAGUCAUUGGGCCUCUCAGGGAUGGGUUUACAGUGAGGCUGUCGAACAGCAGCUAUCAAAAGGGGACACAGCAAUUAAUUUGAAACCCAUACCCUAUUCAUUUUAAUAUUGUUAAAAACUUGAAGAAAAUCUUGAUU